rnacentral:rRNA from 1 species
AUUGAACGCUGGCGGCAUGCCUUACACAUGCAAGUCGAACGGUAACAGGUCUUCGGACGCUGACGAGUGGCGAACGGGUGAGUAAUACAUCGGAACGUGCCCAGUCGUGGGGGAUAACUACUCGAAAGAGUAGCUAAUACCGCAUACGAUCUGAGGAUGAAAGCGGGGGACCUUCGGGCCUCGCGCGAUUGGAGCGGCCGAUGGCGGAUUAGGUAGUGGGUGGGAUAAAAGCUUACCAAGCCGACGAUCUGUAGCUGGUCUGAGAGGACGACCGGCCACCCUGGGACUGAGGCACAGCCCAGACUCCUACGGGAGGCAGCAGUGGGGAAUUUUGGACAAUGGGCGAAAGCCUGAUCCAGCAAUGUCGCGUGAAGGAUGAAGGCCUUCGGGUUGUAAACUGCUUUUGUACGGAACGAAAAAGCUUCUCCUAAUUCGAGAGGCCCAUGACGGUACCGUAAGAAUAAGCACCGGCUAACUACGUGCCAGCCGCCCGCAGUAA